CGCUCCCCCAUCCACAAGCGCACGACAACUUCUCCCAAAUCCACCGCUCCGUUGAUCCGCGGCACCGGCCGCCGCACCGCACUCCGCGAGCGCCUGCUCAUUUCCCCAGCUGACGUCGCGGGCCAAGGUGACGGAUCUGACAGGCUGCUCCCCCGCCCCAGAUUUUCGCUCGCCGAAUCCGUCAGCUCCCUGCCGCAAUCGUCUCCGCGGUCGCCACGAUGCUCGACUCCGGCGACCUCCUUCCGGCCUCUCGCGACAAGUCCGUGUCCGUGUUGGUCACCUUCGCAUCCUCCGAAGGCGAGCGUGCACCCAUCUCCACGAGGAAGGAGAGCGCGCAUCGCCCCCACGCUCCUCAUUCAGGGUCGCUGGCCCCGACGCCGUCGCAGUGGGCCUCUUCCUCUCCAGCAUCUCUCCGCCGGCCGCAUCCGGGAUGGCCUCGACCUCCUGCUGCUAGCUGCUGGUGCUGGCUGUAGCUUGAACAGGAGCAGAAAAAUUGCAUCGAGGUAGCAGGUGGAUGAUGGUACUGGUGCCUUUCUCUUGAAUUGUUGCUGGUGAUGGCUGCAAUUGGAAGGAGUGUUUUUUUUAUUUCUCUCCUUCCAAUUCUGCAAUUGUGCCUCCCCUAUGCGUGAUGAUUUUGUUUCUUAGCACAAGGUACAUCGUGGCUUGGGUUGAUCUGCUGUGAUAGUUAGUAGAGAUGAUAGUAACGAGUAUAAACUCUCUUGAAUGGGUAGUUCAUAGUAUAGUGGUAAGUAUACUAUGAUUAUAUUCAUCUAACACAUGGCAAAAAGGAGACUGCAUUAUGAAG
rnacentral:rRNA from 1 species